rnacentral:misc_RNA from 1 species
GUAACAUAAUGAUAGACUGGAUUGUGAAGGACAGUUUGUAGAAUUGGAUUUCUAAUUUACUAAGUUUGUUUGGAAAUGGUUAUAAAUAUUUGUGAGUGCUUGUAGUGAUGGAAAGCUCUUCCCUUGAACUUGUAGUGAAAUACACAUGCAAAAGUCUUACACUGAAAGUUCUCAAUAUGAAAUCUUAUAUUAAUGUUACCAGUUUUAACUAAUUUACUAAUUCAGUUAAUUUGAAAGUAACUUGUUGAAGAAAGAGUUAGUUGACUUGAAGAUUAGAUUGAAUGCCAAUAAUUUGGUCAAGACUUGGGAUAAAU